GAUUUCAACUGAAAAAGUUAUCAACAACAAAGUUGAAUAAAUCAUCAAGAUCUAACACUUUUAUUUUGAUUAUUUCUUCAUCCAACAAAGUGAUACUAACAUUGUUCAUAAAAUUGACGUAUCUGGUUUUAUAAACUAUAACACAUAUAUGUAAAAUUUGUAAACAAUGUUACUAAUACUUUGUCGGAUGAAGAAAUGACAAAAAUAAAAGUUUUAGAUCUUGAUGAUUAUACAAUUUUGUUGUUGAUGACUUUUUCAAUUGAAAUC
rnacentral:pre_miRNA from 1 species